rnacentral:rRNA from 1 species
UACGUAGGGUGCGAGCGUUGUCCGGAAUUAUUGGGCGUAAAGGGCUCGUAGGCGGUUUGUCGCGUCGGGAGUGAAAACACGGGGCUUAACUCCGUGCCUGCUUCCGAUACGGGCAGACUAGAGGUAUGCAGGGGAGAACGGAAUUCCUGGUGUAGCGGUGAAAUGCGUAGAUAUCGGGAGGAACACCAGUGGCGAAGGCGAGUCUCUGGGCUGUAUCUGACGCUGAUGCGCGAAAGCGUGGGGAGCGAACAGG